UGAGGAAUAUUGGUCAAUGGGGGCAACCCUGAACCAGCCAAGUCGCGUGAAGGAUGAAGGUCUUAUGGAUUGUAAACUUCUUUUACACGGGAAUAAAGUGGGGGACGUGUCCCCCUUUGCAUGUACCGUGUGAAUAAGGAUCGGCUAACUCCGUGCCAGCAGCCGCGGUAAUACGGAGGAUCCGAGCGUUAUCCGGAUUUAUUGGGUUUAAAGGGUGCGCAGGCGGGAUGUUAAGUCGGCGGUGAAAUUUUGCAGCUCAACUGUAAAAGUGCCUUCGAUACUGGCCUCCUUGAGUGUGGAUGAAGUAGGCGGAAUUUGUGGUGUAGCGGUGAAAUGCUUAGAUAUCACGAGGAACUCCGAUUGCGCAGGCAGCUUACUAAACUACAACUGACGCUCAUGCACGAAGGCGUGGGGAUCAAACA
rnacentral:rRNA from 1 species